rnacentral:rRNA from 1 species
UUGAACGGCUGGCGGCAGGCCUAACACAUGCGAAGUCGAGCGGAGUGAGUGGAGCUUGCUCCAUGAUUCAGCGGCGGACGGGUGAGUAAUGCCUAGGAAUCUGCCUGGUAGUGGGGGGACAACGUUUCGAAAGGAACGCUAAUACCGCAUACGUCCUACGGGAGAAAGCAGGGGACCUUCGGGCCUUGCGCUAUCAGAUGAGCCUAGGUCGGAUUAGCUAGUAGGUGAGGUAAUGGCUCACCUAGGCGACGAUCCGUAACUGGUCUGAGAGGAUGAUCAGUCACACUGGAACUGAGACACGGUCCAGACUCCUACGGGAGGCAGCAGUGGGGAAUAUUGGACAAUGGGCGAAAGCCUGAUCCAGCCAUGCCGCGUGUGUGAAGAAGGUCUUCGGAUUGUAAUGCACUUUAAGUUGGGAGGAAGGGCAGUAAGUUAAUACCUUGCUGUUUUGACGUUACCAACAGAAUAAGCACCGGCUAACUUCGUG